AGUGGCGCACGGGUGAGUAACACGUGGGUAACCUGCCCUUGAGUUCGGGAUACCCCCUCGAAAGGGGGGCUAAUACCGGAUACGUUCCUCGGCAGGAAAGGUGCGCUCUUGGAGGGGCUCGCGGCCUAUCAGCUAGUUGGCGGGGUAACGGCCCACCAAGGCUAUGACGGGUAGCUGGUCUGAGAGGACGACCAGCCACACGGGGACUGAGACACGGCCCCGACUCCUACGGGAGGCAGCAGUGGGGAAUUUCCGCAAUGGGCGAAAGCCUGACGGAGUGACGCCGCGUGUGGGACGAAGGCCUUCGGGUCGUAAACCACUGUCAGUGGGAAAGAAUGACGGUACCUGCAGAGGAAGCCCCGGCCAACUCUGUGCCAGCAGCCGCGGUAAGACAGAGGGGGCAAGCGUUGCUCGGAAUUACUGGGCGUAAA
rnacentral:rRNA from 1 species